rnacentral:rRNA from 1 species
AACGAACGCUGGCGGCAGGCUUAACACAUGCAAGUCGAACGCAUCCUUCGGGGUGAGUGGCAGACGGGUGAGUAACGCGUGGGAACGUGCCCUUCAGUUCGGGAUAACCCAGGGAAACUUGGGCUAAUACCGGAUACGUGCGAGAGCAGAAAGAUUUAUCGCUGAAGGAUCGGCCCGCGUCGGAUUAGCUAGUUGGUGGGGUAAUGGCCCAAGAAGGCGACGAUCAGUAGCUGAGCUGAGAGAAUGGGCAGCCACAUUGGGACUGGGAAACGGACACAACUCCUACGGGAGGCAGCAGUGGGGAAUAUUGUACAAUGGGCGCAAGCCUGCACCAGCCAUGCCGGGUGAGUGAUGAAGGCCUGAGGGUUGUAAAGCUCUUUCGUCCGGGACGAUAAUGACGGUACCGGAAGAAGAAGCCCCGGCUAACUUCGUGCCAGCAGCCGCCGUAA